UACGGAGGGUGCGAGCGUUAUUCGGAAUUACUGGGCGUAAAGCGCGCGCAGGCGGCGUGAUAAGCCGGUUGUGAAAGCCCCGGGCUCAACCUGGGAACGGCAUCCGGAACUGUCAAGCUAGAGUACAGGAGAGGAGGGUAGAAUUCCCGGUGUAGCGGUGAAAUGCGUAGAGAUCGGGAGGAAUACCAGUGGCGAAGGCGGCCUUCUGGACUAAUACUGACGCUGAGGUGCGAAAGCGUGGGUAGCAAACAGG
rnacentral:misc_RNA from 1 species